AGUGAACGCUGGCGGUAGGCCUAACACAUGCAAGUCGAACGGCAGCACAGUAAGAGCUUGCUCUUACGGGUGGCGAGUGGCGGACGGGUGAUGAAUACAUCGGAAUCUACUUUUUCGUGGGGGAUAACGUAGGGAAACUUACGCUAAUACCGCAUACGACCUACGGGUGAAAGCAGGGGAUCUUCGGACCUUGCGCGAUUGAAUGAGCCGAUGUCGGAUUAGCUAGUUGGCGGGGUAAAGGCCCACCAAGGCGACGAUCCGUAGCUGGUCUGAGAGGAUGAUCAGCCACACUGGAACUGAGACACGGUCCAGACUACUACGGGAGGCAGCAGUGGGGAAUAUUGGACAAUGGGCGCAAGCCUGAUCCAGCCAUACCGCGUGGGUGAAGAAGGCCUUCGGGUUGUAAAGCCCUUUUGUUGGGAAAGAAAAGCAGCAGGUUAAUACCCCGCUGUUCUGACGGUACCCAAAGAAUAAGCACCGGCUAACUUCGUG
rnacentral:rRNA from 1 species